CGUGUCGUGAGAUGUUGGGUUAAGUCCCGUAACGAGCGCAACCCUUGUCCUUAGUUACCAGCACGUUAGUGGUGGGCACUCUAAGGAGACUGCCGGUGACAAACCGGAGGAAGGUGGGGAUGACGUCAAGUCAUCAUGGCCCUUACGGCCUGGGCUACACACGUGCUACAAUGGUCGGUACAAAGGGUUGCCAAGCCGCGAGGUGGAGCUAAUCCCAUAAAACCGAUCGUAGUCCGGAUCGCAGUCUGCAACUCGACUGCGUGAAGUCGGAAUCGCUAGUAAUCGUGAAUCAGAAUGUCACGGUGAAUACGUUCCCGGGCCUU
rnacentral:rRNA from 1 species